AGGUCGUGGUAUUUCGUACCUUCAUGGCUCAGUACUGUGCGAACGGAUUGUAGUUCGUCGAUCCGUCCCCGGUGUGGUGCUGUGACAAAAAGUGAUGUGAGUCCGUCGAG